UGUUUUCUUAAAAGAUCGGUUCUUGAUUUGUUUAUUUUGGUUUUGUAUUUGCUUUUCAUUUCUUUUUGUUUCUACAUCGAUUCGUUGGGAUGAAAGGGUGUAGAUCUGGCCGCUGUGUGGGGAAAGGUGAAUAUGGAGAAAGAAAAUAUUUAAAUAAUGAUUUCCAUUUUUCUAGCAAUGAUGACAAAGAUGGUGGUCUCCAUUGUUUCUAGCAAAACCACGGGUACGUUGACCUGCCUGUGGUAGGGAGUUAUCAUCCCUUAGGCCUAGACCUAAAACUACGGGACCCUUCACGCUUCAUGGUCUUGCUAACGGAUCACGUGGGCAUCCGUUGAGUCGACGCAGUAUCUUCCCUAGCAAGCCCCUUAAACCCCCACGCCCAAGUAAAGACCAUGAGGACCUUCACGGCCUGUGGUCCUUCACACGACCGUCUGAUGGUCCUUGAUAAUUUAGGCAACAGCCCCCCCCCCCCACCUUCUUGUCAAUCCCAGGACUCCCCAACUUAUAAUAGAGGACCACGAGGGACUUCAUUUGGCCCGUGGGAAGGUCCAUGAAAAAACGCGACUAGACCCCAAGACCCAAAUGAGGACCACGGGUACCUUCACAAUCAAUGGUCCUUAAUACAACAACAGGUAGGGCCCAUGGACCGGACCCCUAGAACCGAGUAAACUUUGGACCAAAUACAACAACCCACUUCACCAUCUUUGAUCCUUUUAACAGUCCGUGAAAGUGGUCGUAGAAAGCCCCAUUAACAGUUUAAGUCAGGGGUAUUUUUCUCUUUUCCCAUUUUGUUGGACCCCUAAAUUUCGUCAUUUAAACCCUAAGCUACAUGGUUUUGGUUAGUUUUAGUGUACAAACAUAACUAAAAUAUAAGUCACAUAUUUCAUGAAAACCUUAAAAAUUAGAACCUAAAGAUAAGAAAGAGGCAACAAAACCCAGUUCAACAUCGCAACAAAAUUCCAUCAGUUCAAAUCGAAAAUUGAAAGUUUUCUCCGAGGAAUUCAUCACCAGAAUUACCAGUAUGAUCCACUCUAACUUAGCGUUGAAUCCCUCGUGAUCGUCACUGACUCAGAUCAUGGUUUUUUGACUUGCCUACAAAAGGGGUUAUGCUAAGCGUCAUCACGAUCAAAUUUCGAGCCAUAUGAUAGACUUUGAUUAGUUUCAUGUAUAUCAUAUGAUCUGUAUGAUCUCAAAAAAAAGGAUUCAAAAGACUUUAUUUGACUUUUCCUGUGUUGCAUAAAUUAUCUUUGAAUACUACUUUGUCUCCUAUCUCAUUCACUCUAAAAUUGAAAAAAAAUUAUUUACUUUUCAUUAACUAAAAAGUAAAUGUGAGCAUGCGUGGUAGGUAUAUACCCUUUUAUUUUUUUCUAUUUAAGUUGUGAAGUAGCUUCACUUUCUUCAUCCCAUCCUUUGAUUUAUAAUUUCUUAGUCACUAAAACGUUCUUUUUGCUAAUCUACUUCCUCUAUGAGUCAUUUGAAUCCUCUUUCCAUCUCUUCUUUAAUAGAAAACAUCAUUAGUUUAUCCUAUAAACUCAUUUCUAUUUUUUUUUUCAUUUAACUAGAUAUCAUUAUAUAUAGAUCUAAAAUGGGGGAAGAUCAUCGGGAUAUAGGUGCAAUAACAAAAAGUUUUAAUAUCAAUAAACCUAACAAUGUUGUAGCUUCUACAUUUUGUUUGAACGCGUCCCAUGUUUAGAAUUACUUUGACAGACUUUUAGCUCCUCGCAUGAAUAGUUUUUAUGGUUUGUCUGAAAUUGUUUCUUUAGAUUUUCCAAUCGCUCGUGAGGAAAGAUCAUAUGAUCAAUUAUCAUAACGAACAUAAAUUGCAACCAGCAAUUGAACUUACAUUCAAUUCCACCAGUUUUAUUUAUCCAACAAAUCAUUUUUCCUCAAUCACGAACAACGGUGGCAUGUGUGCCACCAACUACAACACAACCAGAAUGGAUAGAUCGACAACAACAACUCGAUAUAGGGGUUAAAAUUCAUCCUAAUUUGGUUUUUCUAUGAAGAAUCCUUUGAACCAAUCUAGAACAAGGAAAAAUCAGCCGAUAAGGCUUACCUAUGAAUCGUCGCAAGAGGAACUCACAAAUGAAAAAUGGGCAUGGCGCAAGUACGGUCAGAAGUAUAUCAAAGGUUCCCCGUUUCCAAGCAUAACAGGAAUUACUACAAGUGUAGCACAUCAAAACACUACGACCCAAAUAAAAAAAUUGAGAAAAGCUCAAAGGAUGAGAACAUUUUCUUGGGUAUUUUUCCGGUGAACACAAACGUGAUCCACCCAUGAGCCGUCGAUAUCUUGCUUGCUGAAACAAUAAUUCCAAAUUCAAGCUUCAAAUUGCCCAAAGAAUCAAUAUUUAAUGCAUCAUCAUUCUUGUCCAAGCGCGUUUAACAUUCAACAGAUGUUGCUUCUCCAAUUAUCGAAACUAAGCCUCCACUUGAAAUCGGGAGCAAAAACAAAAUGGUUGUGAACAAAGCAUAUUAUCAUGUGAUUACUUCGUUUCUUGCAUGAAAUCCAGAACCCUAGCUAUGUAUUUCUUUGGUUCUUCAAUUGCACAUGAUAGGUCUGAUAUUUCAAAUAUA